rnacentral:rRNA from 1 species
UACAGAGGGUGCGAGCGUUAAUCGGAAUUACUGGGCGUAAAGCGUGCGUAGACGGUUAUGUAAGUCAGAUGUGAAAGCCCCGGGCUCAACCUGGGAAUUGCAUUUGAGACUGUGUAGCUAGGGUGCGGAAGAGGGAAGCGGAAUUUCCGGUGUAGCGGUGAAAUGCGUAGAGAUCGGGAGGAACACCAGAGGCGAAGGCGGCGACCUGGACAGUUACUGACACUCAACUACGAAAGCGUGGGGAGCAAACAGG